GAUGAAGAACGUAGCAAAAUGCGAUAAGUAAUGUGAAUUGCAGAAUUCAGUGAAUCAUCGAAUCUUUGAACGCACAUUGCGCCCGCCAGUAUUCUGGCGGGCAUGCCUGUCCGAGCGUCAUUUCAACCAUCAAGCCCCGGGCUUGUGUUGGGGACCUGCGUCCGACGCAGGCCCUGAAAACCAGUGGCGGGCUCGCUGUCCACACCGAGCGUAGUAACUAACCUCGCUAUGGAGUGGCGCGGGCGCCUGCCGUAAAACCCCCAAUUUCACAAGGUUGACCUCGGAUCAGGUAGGAAUACCCGCUGAACUUAAGCAUAUCAAUAAGCGGAGGA
rnacentral:misc_RNA from 1 species